ACAUCAAUCUCUCUUUUGGGUGUUCAAUUUUACUCCAUUCACGUGGACUUCAAGCUCAAGUCUCAUACACAAAUGGUGAUAAAGUAUCGAGUGUCAGCCACCAAGACAAGAAAAGAACAGGUUCACCGGUAAAAAGGCUAUUGAAAUCAAAAUAUGUUGGGCUCACAAAGGUAGUGUAUUUCUCACCCUAUUCUUUAAUUCUCUUAACCAAUAUGUUUUUUGCUGCCUGAAUGUAGUUAUAGUUCUAAAAAAGUAAGAAAUGUGAUAGUAUGACUACUUUUUGUAACAUAUUCUUCAUAAUGAAGUUGUGUGUUGGGGUUUGCAUCUUGAUGUAAAGGCAUCAUUGGUACUUUGAUAUUGGACUAA